CUGACUCAGGGAGGUAGCGACAAGAAAUAACGAUAGCGGGCUCGUUCGAGUCCGUGCAUCGGAAUGAGGAUAAUUUACACCCCUUCUCGAGGAUCCAUUGGAGGGCAAGUCUGGUGCCAGCAGCCGCGGUAAUUCCAGCUCCAAUAGCGUAUACUAAAGUUGUUGCAGUUAAAAAGCUCGUAGUCGAAUGUAGGUUUAGUUAUUAUGCGGUCUCUCAGGUGUUACUUGAGUGGAUUGCGUAUAACGACCUUCCUUGAUAUAAUAACAGUUAUGUUUGAAAUUCAAAUGUAAUGGUUAUUAUAUCCAUUACUGUGAACAAAAUAGAGUGUUCAUGGCAGGCCAAUUUAGGCUUGGAUACCUCAGCAUGGAAUAAUAGAAUAGGACUUCUGGUUCUAUUUUGUUGGUUUUUGGAGCCGAAGUAAUGAUUAAUAGGGAUAGUUGGGGGCACUCGUACUCCGUUGUCAGAGGUGAAAUUCUUGGAUUGACGGAAGACGAACAACUGCG
rnacentral:rRNA from 1 species